CUGUGCUCUCUCUGGCUGUGACAUCAAUGUCACCCCAUUGAUCACCAGGCUUGAUUUGGCUGAUCUGGCUGGCUAGUGCCCCCUUCCUCCCUCAUGGCUCCGUGUGUGUCCCUCCUGAAGCUGUGGGCUCCAUCGAAGAGGAUGAGAGAGGAGAGGACCAUUCCUCGGUCAAGGGUAUAUGAGGAGCUUCGCUCCCCUGCUAGAACCUCCAAACAAGCUCACUUACUCUCUCAAAUAAAUAAAAUCUUUUUUUUUUAAAGAUUUUAUUUAUUU
rnacentral:snRNA from 1 species